UAAGGUGCAUCUAGUGCAGUUAGUGAAGUAGCGUAGAAUCUACUGCCCUAAAUGCUCCUUCUGGC
rnacentral:pre_miRNA from 1 species